CAUAGCGGUAAAUCAAGACAUGUUUUGA
rnacentral:sRNA from 1 species